UUUUCUUUAGUUUUAUCCUGCCUGUUUUUAAGUUUUUUUUUAGUUUUUUUUUUCUUUUUUUAUUAUUUAUAUAUAUAUAGGUUGUUCUUUUCUGAAAUACUUUUCCUUCUGUUUUUUUAUUUUGUUUAUACUAUCCUUUCUCUUUUUUAGUUUUCUUCAGUUUUUUUCUGCCUGUUUUAAUUUUUUUUGUUUUUUCUAUAUAUUUAGGGUGUUUUUUCUGAUAUACUUUUCUUUCUGUUUUUUUAAUUUUGUUUAUACUAUCCUUUCUCUUUUUUUAGUUUUCUUUAGUUUUUUGUCUGCCUGUUUUAAGUUUUUUUUAAGGUUUUUUUCAGUUUUUUGUUAUUUAUAUAUAUAUAUAGGUUGUUCUUUUCUGAAAUACUUUUCCUUCUUUUUUUUAUUUUGUUUAUACUAUCCUUUCUCCUUUUUAGUUUUCUUUAGUUUUUGUCUGCCUGUUUUAAGUUUUUUUUUUAGUUUUUUGAAGUUUUUUUUAGAAAUACUAAUCUUUUUAUUAGUUUUCUUUAGUUUUUUUCUGCCUGUUUUAAUUGUUUUGUUUUUUGUUUCCUUUAGUUUUUUUUUCUUCAGUUUUUUUUACCUAUUUUUUUGCCUGGCACCUCUUUCUUGAUGAGCUACUCUUAGUCUGGUCCCUCCCCCAGGACCUGCUGCCUUGGGUAACCUUUCAGAGGCAUAAAGCCCUGACAACAUAGCUCCUGGGAUCAUUGGGACACACAAACCCCUCCACCACGGUAAGGUGGUAGCUCAAGGAGGGGAAAAAACCCUCACAUGGGAGGGAAAAACCGCAAGGGUUUUUUUUUCUGUGCAAAACACCCGGUUUAGGGUGGGUUUUUGUUCUUUUUUUUCAGAAAUACUUUUCAUUUCUUUAGUUUCCUAUAGUUCUUUUUUAUUUUUCUGCCUGUUUUAAGUUUUUUUUUCAGAAAUACUGUGAUGUUUCUUUUUUUUUUAGUUUUUUUUUAUGAAUACUAUUCUUUUUCUCAGUUUUCUUUAGUUUUUUUUGUCAUUUAUAAAUAUUAAGGGUUUUCCUUUCUGAAAUACUUUUCCUUCUGUUUUUUUAUUUUGUUUAUACUAUCCUUUCUCUUUUUUAGUUUUCUUUAGUAUUUUCUACCUGUUUUAAGUUUUUUUUUUGUUUUUUUUGUUUUUUCUAUAUAUUUAGGGUGUUUUUUUCUGAAAUACUUUUCCUUCUGUUUUUUUUAUUUUGUUUAUACUAUCCUUUCUCUUUUUUAGUUUUCUUUAGUUUUUUUCUGCCUGUUUUAAGUUUUUUUUGUUUUUUCUAUAUAUUUAGGGUGUUUUAUCAGAAAUACUUUUCCUUCUGUUUUUUUUAUUUUGUUUAUACUAUCCUUUCUCUUUUUUAGUUUUCUUUAGUUUUUUUCUGCCUGUUUUAAGUUUUUUUUAGUUUUUUUAGUUUUUUAGUUUUUUCUAUAUAUUUAGGGUGUUUUUUCUGAAAUACUUUUCCUUCUGUUUUUUUUAUUUUUUUUAUACUAUCCUUUCUCUUUCUUUAAUUUUCUUUAGUUUUUUGUCUGCCUGUUUUAAGUGUUUUUUUUUAUUUUUUAAAGUUUUUUUUUAGAAAUACUAUUCUUUUUCUUCUUUUUUUAGUUUUCUUUAGUUUUAUUCUGCCUGUUUUUAAGGGUUUUUUUAGGUUUUUUUCAGUUUUUUGUUAUUUAUAUAUAUAAACAACCUGUUUUAAGGUUGUUUUUUAGUUUUUUUCUUGUUGUUAUUUAUAUAUAUUAAGGGUGUUCUUUUCUGAAAUACUUUUCCUUCUUUUUUUUCAUUUUGUUUAUAAUAUCCUUUCUCUUUUUUAGUUUUCUUUAGUUUUUUUCUGCCUGUUUUAAGUUUUUUUUUUUUUUUUUUUUCUAUAUAUUUAGGGUGUUUUUUUUCUCAAAUACUAUUCUUUUUCUCCUUUUUUUAGUUUUCUUUAGUUUUAUUCUGCCUGUUUUUAAGGUUUUUUUUUAGUUUUUUUUCAGUUUUUUGUUAUUUAUAUACACUCACUGGCCACUUUAUUAGGUACACCUGUCCAACUGCUCGUUAACACUUAAUUUCUAAUCAGCCAAUCACAUGGCGGCAACUUAGUGCAUUUAGGCAUGUAGACAUGGUCAAGACAAUCUCCUGCAGUUCAAACCGAGCAUCAGUAUGGGGAAGAAAGGUGAUUUGAGUGACUUUGAACGUGGCAUGGUUGUUAGUGCCAGAAGGGCUGGUCUGAGUAUUUCAGAAACUGCUGAUCUACUGGGAUUUUCACGCACAACCAUCUCUAGGGUUUACAGAGAAUGGUCCGAAAAAGAAAAAAUAUCCAGUGAGCGGCAGUUCUGUGGGCGGAAAUGCCUUGUUGAUGCCAGAGGUCAGAGGAGAAUGGCCAGACUGGUUUGAGCUGAUAGAAAGGCAACAGUGACUCAAAUAACCACCCGUUACAACCAAGGUAGGCAGAAGAGCAUCUCUGAACGCACAGUACAUCGAACUUUGAGGCAGAUGGGCUACAGCAGCAGAAGACCACGCCAGGUGCCACUCCUUUCAGCUAAGAACAGGAAACUGAGGCUACAAUUUGCACAAGCUCAUCGAAAUUGGACAAUGAAGAUUGGAAAAACGUUGCCUGGUCUGAUGAGUCUCGAUUUCUGCUGCGACAUUCGGAUGGUAGGGUCAGAAUUUGGCGUCAACAACAUGAAAGCAUGGAUCCAUCCUGCCUUGUAUCAACAGUUCUGGCUGGUGGUGGUGGUGUCAUGGUGUGGGGAAUAUUUUCUUGGCACUCUUUGGGCCCCUUGGUACCAAUUGAGCAUCGUUGCAACGCCACAGCCUACCUGAGUAUUGUUGCUGACCAUGUCCAUCCCUUUAUGACCACAAUGUACCCAACUUCUGAUGGCUACUUUCAGCAGGAUAAUGCGCCAUGUCAUAAAGCUGGAAUCAUCUCAGACUGGUUUCUUGAACAUGACAAUGAGUUCACUGUACUCAAAUGGCCUCCACAGUCACCAGAUCUCAAUCCAAUAGAGCAUCUUUGGGAUGUGGUGGAGCGGGAGAUUCGCAUCAUGGAUGUGCAGCCGACAAAUCUGCGGCAACUGUGUGAUGCCAUCAUGUCAAUAUGGACCAAGCUCUCUGAGGAAUGCUUCCAGCACCUUGUUGAAUCUAUGCCACGAAGAAUUGAGGCAGUUCUGAAGGCAAAAGGGGGUCCAACCCGUUACUAGCAUGGUGUACCUAAUAAAGUGGCCGGUGAGUGUAUAUAUAUAGGUUGUUCUUUUCUGAAAUACUUUUCCUUGUGUUUUUUUAUUUUGUUUAUACUAUCCUUUCUAUCCUUCUAUCCUUUAUCCUAUCCUUUCUUAUAGUUUUUUUAGUUCUUUUUGUUAUAUAUAUUUAGGGUGUUUUUUUUCAGAAAUACUUUUCCUUCUGUUUUUUUAUUUUGUUUACACUAUCCUUUCUCUUCUUUUUAGUUUACUUUAGUUUUUUUCUGCCUGUUUUAAGUUUUUUUUUUAGUUUUUUAAAGUUUUUUUUAGAAAUACUAUUCUUUUUCUUCUUUUUUUAGUUUUCUUUAGUUUUAUUCUGCCUGUUUUUAAGGGGUUUUU
rnacentral:lncRNA from 1 species